GAUGAACGCUGGCGGCGUGCUUAACACAUGCAAGUCGAACGAAGCACUUUAUUUGAUUUCCUUCGGGACUGAUUAUUUUGUGACUGAGUGGCGGACGGGUGAGUAACGCGUGGGUAACCUGCCUUGUACAGGGGGAUAACAGUUGGAAACGGCUGCUAAUACCGCAUAAGCGCACGGCAUCGCAUGAUGCAGUGUGAAAAACUCCGGUGGUAUAAGAUGGACCCGCGUUGGAUUAGCUAGUUGGUGAGGUAACGGCCCACCAAGGCGACGAUCCAUAGCCGACCUGAGAGGGUGACCGGCGACAUUGGGACUGAGACACGGCCCAAACUCCUACGGGAGGCAGCAGUGGGGAAUAUUGCACAAUGGGCGAAAGCCUGAUGCAGCGACGCCGCGUGAGCGAAGAAGUAUUUCGGUAUGUAAAGCUCUAUCAGCAGGGAAGAUAAUGACGGUACCUGACUAAGAAGCACCGGCUAAAUACGUG
rnacentral:rRNA from 1 species